AAUUAUUGAAUGAUGACUUCAUAGUUCAUCUGAACACUUUGAUGCAUACCUUUGCAAUGUCUUUCGCUCCUAUCUGAUGGCAAUC